ACCCGGAUCAAACCGUGGCCUAUGUUUGGGUGUUUGGGAAGUGCACAGCAACAUCCGGUCAGACUCUUAUUGUCGCUCACUCGUGUAGAGUAUUAUCAUUUCAUUUUUACCACCAAAAAAAAAAACAACACAAGGAUGACCGGGGAGUCGAUAUUUGGUCACUUUUGGUGUUGAGAUUGGCAGAUAAACCUUACCGAAGUCUGUCGUCAGUUUGACUGUGCUGGAUGUACAAGUACACAGAC
rnacentral:lncRNA from 1 species